GUUGGUACCCUAACACUAGCUUUGACUUUCCUACAUAAUGCAGUAAGUGCUACUUGUUGGGGUAGUUUGA
rnacentral:pre_miRNA from 1 species